ensembl:lncRNA
AUGAACUGCAGCUCUCAUCCUCCACCGCCUCAGUCAGCGUCUUUCCCUUCACUGAACAAAAGCCCUGUUUCCGCGGCCUCCAACUCUGCACAGUGCCCACACGCCUCCCGCCCCCCCGGGCCUUCCUUCUGUCAAGUCGACUCCCUCUUCAGAUGGCUCCCGCAGAAGCCUGUCAGUCAGGGAGGACCAGGAAGCCAGAUCCCAGCAACCCCACGUCUCACACACUCCCCUUCAACACCGUCCACAGAACUUCAGGACUCCAGCUGCCUCCCCUUCACACUGAAGAGCGGGAGCAGAGGACCCGCUUUGCUGACCCUGAGAAGCAGGACAGACCCCCAGGAGCAGAUGAGCCAUGAACCAGCGGAAGGCGGCCUGGACGCCUGCGAUGCCUCAGGAAAGUCACUUUAAUGACUCCAAAAAGGCGACCGAAGAAACUUAAAGGACACUCAGAAGCGUUCUGCCUAUAGAAGAAUGAACAGUGAACACUUCCAGGAGAAACGCGUCCUCCCCAAACCGCCGGGCAGCCAGGCAGACCCUUCCCCCGGGGCCCGAGGGCGCUGCGCGCCCGGAUCCCCGACUCCCGCGCGGAUCCCCGACUCCCGGGAGAGUAACAGGUGUUACGCGAAGCCAGCCGCGUCGCCCUGGAGGCUGCGGGAGACCGGGCUGCGCGGCUCGGCCGUUUCGGUUCUUUAUAAGCCAAAAAAAAAAAAAAAAAAAAANNNNNNNNNUACAGCAGGCAAAUUCCACCCCCUUCCACCCCCUCCCCCUCGUAAGGUAAGAGCCACCGGAAUUUUUUGCUGGUUCCGCAAAGUGAAGAAUUCCGAUCCAGCGAGUGCCAGGGCUGGCGCGCGCUAGGAGCUACGCUCAGAGUCCACCGGGCGGUCGCGGAAACGCCCGGGGACCUGGGUGGGGGACCGGGGCCGCGCCGCCGUCGCGGCGCCCCGCCUGCCCAGUCUGGUGCAAAUACAUACAUGCCCUUUUCCACUGUGGCCGUUUGGAUGCGAGUGGGGAAAAGCAGACUAGGGAGGAAAUUACAUUUCAAGAUAAAAAACCCCUCCGAACUGGACGGAGAGAAGAAAAAAAAAGUGGAGGGCUAGAAGAGACCCCGGGGCUAAGUGCACACUGGGGUCCCCGGCCCUGCGUCCACCGAGAGGCUGCACCGCCGCGCAUGCCUCUCGCUCAGGUGACCGUCUUGACCUUCGCGGAAGCUGGGCUUCGGCGCGCGGGCCCCAGUCCUGGGAAGGUGACCUAGGCCAGGGAGUCUGGACAGCCUGUCCCGCCGUGGGGCAGCCGGCCCGCCGCCUCAACCCCCGACCCGCAAGCGCUGCGAUGGCCCCGCUGCCCGCGACGGGCGAGUACCGACACCUGCGCGCCAGGCGCUCGGCUUUCCAACUUGGCAAACUUCUGGCGGCCGCUCCGUGCUCAGAGCGCCUGUUGGGCGACAAAGUUCCUUUCUGUAGCAACUGCUGGGGGCCGAGGCAGGGGGGCAUGGUCCGAGAUAGCCGAGGGUGAGGACUCAGUCUCAGAACUUGUUUGCCUUUUCUAUUCUCUGGCCUUACCUGGGCAAACUGGGUUGUGCACACAAAGUUCGUUGUAAAGUGAGUAUCAGAAAGGGAGUCCUGGGGAAGAGCUGGCUUGCUAAACCCUAGUUUACUGGGAACAGUAAGCCUUGAUAGAAAUUCCAACCCAGCGUCUGAGUUGGCACUCUCCUGGGAGUUGUGAGCACAUUUCGGUUGGAGCUGAGGGCUGGCUGGCGGGAGGGUGCCCGGGCUCGGGCAGGGGACUGGCCGACAGGGCUCGCCCGGCGGUGCACAGCUGGAGCAGCUGCAGGGAGGCGGGUAUCAAGAAUCUGUAACACCAGAUGUGAGGACGCCUCGCAGAGACCCAGGCGUGGCCCGGUCCUUCGGCCCGGGCCUGGGGCGCACCCUGGACGCCGGGAGCCGCUGGGGUGUGGGGCCUGGCGCCGGGGGGCAAGUAGCUGCGGGGCGCGCUGCGUGGGCGCGGGCGGCUGCGGCGUGGGGAACCUUGGCUCCGCCAGUGGGCGUCUUCUGCAGCCGCCGCCGCCGCCUCCACGGGCAGCGGCACUGCGGCGCUUUUCUCCGCUGCUUUCGAGCAGUCGCUGAGGCUUAGCCACCACCGGAGC